GCUUGUCUCAAAGAUUAAGCCAUGCAUGUCUAAGUAUAAACAUUUAUACUGUGAAACUGCGAAUGGCUCAUUAAAUCAGUUAUAGUUUAUUUGAUAAUACCUUACUACUUGGAUAACCGUGGUAAUUCUAGAGCUAAUACAUGCUAAAAAUCCCGACUUCUGGAAGGGAUGUAUUUAUUAGAUAAAAAACCAACCCGGGCAACCCGGAAAAUGGUGAUUCAUAAUAACUUUCGGAUCGUUUACGAUGCAUCAUUCAAGUUUCUGCCCUAUCAGCUUUGGAUGGUAGGGUAUUGGCCUACCAUGGCUUUAACGGGUAACGGAGAAUUAGGGUUCGAUUCCGGAGAGGGAGCCUGAGAAAUGGCUACCACAUCCAAGGAAGGCAGCAGG
rnacentral:rRNA from 1 species